AUGAAUUCCCAUGUUUUAAAAUCUCUUUUAGAAUUAUUUACAUUUUCUAGAAUUUUAAACAAGAGCAACUGUCAGAAAUAUUUUUCUCUCAGAUCUUUCUUUGGCUCUCUGGUUCUUCAAAGGCAGAAUGAAUGUGAGCCAGAAGACAGCAAGAUGUUCAUCUGCCUCCAUGAACAGCCUGACAGAGCUUCUAAGAAGAAUUGGGAAUUUGAUUCUAUGAGAAGGCCUGGUUUCAUGAGGAAGGAAAGAAGGUGCCAAUUGCCAGCAGUCGAAGUGUCCUAAGGAGUUCUAGAGAUAGGACUUGCAGGAAAACACACAUUUGAAUUUCUCUUCACCAGACAAGCUUUUGUUCGUGAAGUAAAAACAUUCUCUUGAAACGAGGUAUCAUCUUCAUGAUUAUUGUACGAAUUAAACAGGCAAUGGCAUCCUAGGAGCUUAGAAAGCUGAAGUGUCAGUCAUGUUAAAGAGUUACACUUAAAAGUACCGCAGGGCGGUCUGAAGUGAUAAGAAUGCACUUGCCAUCUCUUUGAAAAAAAAUUAACAGAUUGGGUUCCAAGCAUUUCUGAUAUUGUGAACAGCAACUCUGAUAAUACUGUUGAUUUCCAUAACACAUAUGAAAUAUCUGGUCACUCUAUAUUACAUAGCCAAGGACAAAGCUUAUGGAGAAGGCGGACAUGAAUUCAGUGUGCUCUGCUGACGGUUUAACUUCUCUGUUACCAACCAAAGUUCCUUUGGAUAAAGGGAGGGAUAUAACCAUGGGCCUUCACAGUCCACCAAAACAUCGAAGCACUGGCAACGUUUGAUUUGUUUAAUAUCACAUUGCAAACUGCGACAGUUAAUGUGGGGAAGACGUUGUAAAGAUAGGGUCUGUGGUGAAAAGAUGUUCUUUUGAAAAAAUACUGGUUCUGACCAUGAAAGUGAAAGGCAAUAUACAAAUAACGAGUUUGCUACAGAAAAAGGAUACCUGAAAUUGUAAGCAUUUCCUUAUUCUUUUGACCAUCUUUCAUCUCACCAGAAGUUACAUCAGUGAAUAUGUUCACCAUAUCUCUGUGACAGUUCUUUUCAGUAUUUAACUUUUUUUCUCCUCUGCUUAGAUUUAUUUCAGAUAAUCGCAGCAUUUUUCUAGAUACCAUACUUGAAGAUUAUUUUGUAAAACUGACGGUUUUGACAAUCAGCAGUAUUUCUUCUGACUCUCACAAAUGUCAAACAUAUUUGGACUCCUACAUUUUCUUUAAAAUACAGGUCUUUAAGUAAUGUUAAAAAUAAUUACCGUCAUCUCACACUGCUUGGUAACUGAUUCAACUUAAAAAUAAAUUAUAUUUUUUGUACUUUGC
rnacentral:lncRNA from 1 species